AAGUCGUAACAAGGUAACCGUACCGGAAGGUGCGGCUGGAUCACCUCCUUUCUAGGGAGCCCACUUGUGGGGAACACGCAGUCAUUGAUCCUGUUGGGUUGGUGGGUGUGUUGUUUUCUUGUGCCUGCAUGUGUUCACUGCCCAGUGUGGGUGGUGGGUGUGGGUGCGUUAUUUUGGGUUAGGCAUAAAAUGUUUAUGCGAGCAGACACACUGUCGGGUUCACGUUCAACACCGUGUUGGCGUCCACCGCCUUGGUGGUGGUUGCCCGCACGACCAGCCUGAAAGGGUUUUCUUUUGGGUGUGGGUUGUGUGUGGUGGGUUGUUUGUGAUUUGUAUAGUGGUUGCGAGCAUAUUUGUUCUGUACUGUUUUUUGUGUUUUGUUUAGUUUUAUUGGGCAUUCGGUGGAUGCCUUGGCAUCAAGAGCUGAUGAAGGACGUUGCGGCCUGCGAUAUGCCUCGGGGAGCUGGCGAGCGAGCGUUAUUAUCCGAGGGUGUCCGAAUGGGGGAACCUAACCUGGGUUGUGCUGGGUUACCAUCAUCUGAACGUGUAUAGGGUGGUGGGGGGAACGCGGGGAAGUGAAACAUCUCAGUACCCGCAGGAAAAGAUAUUCCGUGAGUAGUGGCGAGCGAAAGCGGAGGAGGCUAAACCAGAUGCGUGUGAGAGGCGGCGGCCGUUGCGUGUUUGGUGUUGUGGGGCCAUGUUGGACUCUUCUGCCGGAGGGUCGCGCCGCAUGAUGCUUGGAGUUGAACAGUGUGGGAAAGCUGACCGAAGAGCGUGAGAGUCGUGUAGAUGGACUGGUGUUGUGUGGUGUGGAUGUGGUACCCGAGUAGCGCGGGACUCGUGAAAUCUCGUGUGAAUCUGCCAAGACCACUUGGUAAGCCUAAAUACUACUUGAUGACCGAUAGUGCAUAGUACCGUGAGGGAAUGGUGAAAAGUACCCCGGGAGGGGAGUGAAAUAGAACCUGAAACCG
rnacentral:misc_RNA from 1 species